rnacentral:sRNA from 1 species
UGACAUUGGGGCGUGAGAAAUUAAUUGUUGAAAGGGGAUCAGCGCUGUGUGGGUGCCUGAUGUCCAUUGAAUGAUAUGAUUUGGACACUCUUCGAGUGGCUGUUUUAGAUGAAGAGUCAUCCUGGAGUUUUUUUUUUUUUUUUUCUUCUCUUUCCUUUUUCUCUAUGGUUUUUAUUGGGAGACUCGCUUGCACGGUUUCCAGAACCUGGGCUUUUGUUGAUAUCUAACGAUUUGAUCGAAAUAUAAUUGAUAUAUUGUCAGUCACUUGUAACUAUGUAGAAAGGAGC